UACGUAGGGUCCAAGCGUUAUCCGGAAUCACUGGGCGUAAAGCGUGCGUAGGUGGAUUGUUAAGUGCGGUGCGAAAUCCUGUGGCUCAACCAUAUGGACUGUAUCGCAUACUGGCAACCUAGAGGACAUGAGAGGCAAGUGGAAUUACUGGUGUAGCAGUGAAAUGCGUAGAGAUCAGUAGGAACACCGAUGGCGAAGGCAGUGUUCUGGGCCAGUACUGACGCUGAGGAGCGAAAAGCGUGGGGAGCAAACAGG
rnacentral:rRNA from 1 species